GAGAAGCCACCACCUUAGAAUCUUAAACGCUUUUCUCUAAUUCUCUUUUGCCUUUCCAAGUUUAGUUUUCAUUUAAAUCUCACAGUUUUAGGUAUUAUUGAUGUAUAUACAUUCCCUGGAUCCGGGCAUAUGUAUGGAUCACUUUUGUGAAUGAUUCUCCUUUCACAAUGUGAUGCUUUGCUUUGGUUUCAAAUAAGAUGAAGCUUUUUCCGCUUGGAUAUCUUUUUCUCGUAUGGAAAAAGAGCGGUUACUUUG